AAGAAAUUUGGAUUCCUUCUGCCUAGGCAGAAAAGAUUGACAGCAAAUAUCUAUGAUGGCUGUAGGUCAGAUGAAAGAACCAGCCUCUGCAGAAUAUUCAGACAUACAGAUUUUGGAUUCAGAUGGCACUGAAUUUUUCUCACUGAACUGUUUGACUCUAUGCAUGCAUACAUACACCCACGUACCACCUUCUUCAAAAUUUUAACUUUGUCGCUCUAAGUUACUUUGUCCCGUUUCCUUUUGCAAGUGACUUUGGAAUCAAUACUCAGUGCUGAAGCUGGUGCUGCUGGUGCUGCUGACAUGAUGAAGAGGGUUCUGUUUGUGAUAUCUGGAAAUCCCCGGUGUACAGUCCUACUUCAGCAUGACCAACUAAGGAGUGCUGCUUACACAGAGAAGUCUGCUCAAUAUGCUUAAGUCUGCUCUCACUAUCUGGUAUUGUUUUAUCUAUCUAUUCACCCACCCACUGACCAUUUCCAGAUCUAUUCAUAAAUACACACCUAUCUAUAGCUCGGAUAUUUUAA